GAUGAACGCUGGCGGCGUGCUUAACACAUGCAAGUCGAACGAAGCACUCUAUUUGAUUUUCUUCGGAGAUGAAGAUUUUGUGACUGAGUGGCGGACGGGUGAGUAACGCGUGGGUAACCUGCCUCAUACAGGGGGAUAACAGUUGGAAACGACUGCUAAUACCGCAUAAGCGCACGGUACCGCAUGGUACCGUGUGAAAAACUCCGGUGGUAUGAGAUGGACCCGCGUCUGAUUAGCUAGUUGGUGGGGUAACAGCCUACCAAGGCGACGAUCAGUAGCCGACCUGAGAGGGUGACCGGCCACAUUGGGACUGAGACACGGCCCAAACUCCUACGGGAGGCAGCAGUGGGGAAUAUUGCACAAUGGGGGAAACCCUGAUGCAGCGACGCCGCGUGAGCGAAGAAGUAUUUCGGUAUGUGAAGCUCUAUCAGCAGGGAAGAAAAAAAUGACGGUACCUGACUAAGAAGCACCGGCUAAAUACGUGCCAGCAGCCGCGGUAAUACGUAUGGUGCAAGCGUUAUCCGGAUUUACUGGGUGUAAAGGGAGCGCAGGCGGUGCGGCAAGUCUGAUGUGAAAGCCCGGGGCUCAACCCCGGUACUGCAUUGGAAACUGUCGUACUAGAGUGUCGGAGGGGUAAGUGGAAUUCCUAGUGUAGCGGUGAAAUGCGUAGAUAUUAGGAGGAACACCAGUGGCGAAGGCGGCUUACUGGACGAUAACUGACGCUGAGGCUCGAAAGCGUGGGGAGCAAACAGAAUUAGAUACCCUGGUAGUCCACGCUGUAAACGA
rnacentral:rRNA from 1 species